CUGUGUGCAUUUAUGCACUCAUAUGUAUGAGUUGGAGAAGGCUUCAUAGAAGAGAAGAUAUUUUAGCUGUGGAGAGGAGUUAAACUCACAGAACAGUUGGUUAAGGUCCCAGAGGAAUACAAGAGCUGGAAAAGAUAUUACUUUUGGAUGUUGCUGCGAGAGAGCUGAGAGGAAUCUUGGCAUUUGUGCAAGAUGAUUGCCGGAGGGAGGAAUACCAACCAUGAAAUGGUCUUGCCAAUUUUUGUCCCAGAGCCAGCUUUACAGGGCACUGAACUGGGGGCCAUACAAGAAAACCUACAAGAAGUAGAAGAUACAGUUGUUCCUGGCUUCCUGGAGUUUACAUCCAAGAGUAAAGGCAAAAGACUGUGGUACGAAAAGGUUACAAAAUGAUCUAUUUUAACGAGUGCUUCGAGCAAAGGUUUUGUAGUCAGACUCUACGGGAUUUGUAUUCUGUCUCCACCAUUUCCAUCCACCAUUUGUAAAA